GUCAUUUGUUCUUCCGCCAGCGCCCAUCGUGAAGACCACAGUUUCCUGUCGCGUGGAUGUGUUUCCUCUCUGGCCAUUGCCAUCCGCCCAAAUCUACAGACAUCCCGCAUGUUCCCGGGCUCGUCUCCCCAAUACAGGGCACCAAGGCUGUAGACUGCGCAGCCCUCCUGGAGACAGAUGGAAGCUCCUUGGGUCGACAGAUUACAGCUUCUGGAACCCCCUACUCCCUUCAACUCCGAGAUGGACACCCACUGUCCAGGGAGAGGAUGCCUGGAAAUAACAGCUGGGAUCUACAGUGGCCAAAGAGUUGUCUCCGUCUUGCUACAUCGACAAACUGGUGCUCCUGAGUGAGGAUUGUGCCCUGGGAUGGGGGAUUCAGUUUCUUCAUUUAUAGUUGGAAGUGGGUGAAGUGCCAGGAGCGACGGUACACUCCAGAGUGCUGUGCCCUGAUGGGCCUUUGAGUGGCCAGUGCAGUGGAUCAUCAGCCCUGUCUCCCAAGAGCUCCAGUCCCUUCUCCGGAGAGGAAGUGGGUCCACUGGCAGCUCAGGAGGCCAUAGCAGAUUGUGGGGCUCUGUGCAGUUGAUGUUAGUUAACCACUGGAUCCACGUGUUCACCGUGGCUUGCGCCCCUGCAUCCGAAAGUGAUCUUGGCUGCCGUGUCCUGGUCAUUGGUAGUGCAGGGAAAGGAUGCGGAAAGACGGGCUCCGAGCUCGGGGCGUCUGGCCUGGAGCUUUCCUACACUUGUGUCUUGCUCUGCAGCCUUACGGAAGUGUGGGUGGCGCUUUCUGGAAGCUGCACAAGAUUGUCACGUGUGCUCAACAGUCCUCCUCGGCUUUCCAGAAGAGGCUGGAACAGGGCCCUUGAAGAUGUUUGUGGACAUCAGAGGGCCAAAGACGACACAAAGUGAAACUGGAGACACCGCCCCCCCUUGGCAUCAUGAAACUGCCGAUGUUACUGGCUCAUGCAUGGGAGACACCAGCAUACAAAGUCUUGACACCAACACCUCAGAGGGCUGUGUUCUGUCCCCGUGACCAUCAUCUAGUGCCUGGAAAGACUAGUGACAAGAACUUGUUGCCAACUUCCUAUUACCUCCCUAACAGUUGUGCAAUAAACCCCAUAGGUUAAUUCAGUCUGCCUUUUAAA
rnacentral:lncRNA from 1 species